rnacentral:tRNA from 3 species
CGCGGGAUGGAGCAGUGGCAGCUCGUCGGGCUCAUAACCCGAAGGUCGUUGGUUCGAAUCCAACUCCCGCUACCA